CUAAGGGCGGCGGGUCGGCCCUCCUCUGUCUCCCUUGGAUGUUAUCCCCGCGAUUCUCAGUGCCCCCCUCCCGAUGAGGGUUGCUCCUUUGCACUCAGGAUGGUGGAAGUUGGGACGGCAGAUAAAAGAAGGGCGGGUGUGAACCCCAUAAGUGAAUUGUGCAGCCAAGGAUUUCUGGAAAUGCGCAGCCUCCUCCAGUCGCGUGUAAAAGUCUCGCCCAGUUCCUUCGUGGAUGGAUCUGGAUGGAGGACAAGACUACUAUGUCACUCAUGAGUCUUCGGAUUUGAGGGGGGGGGGCGAAGGAAUAAACAAUCGGGGAGAACUUUAUGAAAUAAAUCUUGCAUGCAUCCAGAAGAACGCUCUGCUCUGCUCAACAAUGUUUGUUGGCAUUAAAAAAAAAGUUCCUACUAGAAGCCGCUUUAAUCCCUUUCCUUCCUGUAUACACCAGUAUGUUUAGUCUGGAGGCUGCUACCUACCUUAUAUAUCAACAAGUUUGCUUCGCCACAAAUUGUAGCCUCGGUACCUUAUCUGGGAUAUUAUCUCAUUUUCAGUCCUUUUGGACAACAGUCCUUUUGUACUUCUGGUAUGUUUUUUUUAAAAUAUAUGAUCAUAUUAAUACAUAAAAUCUCUGGGUUUCAAAUCCAAGUGAAUUAUGGGCAAAUUAUUUCUGAGUUUAAAAAUAUUCCACAUUGUCAUAAACUCUACUUGGAAAUAAGAUUUCCAAGAUGUAGGUACUUUUCAGGCUGUGUGCUGGUCACAAGUCGUAACUAACCAAAACUGCUGAGACUAAUGAUCCCCUCUACUCACUUAGCUUUAUAUAUACUUUAUUACUAGCUUUAAACUGUUUUUCUCUUCUGAUGACAGUCUUGUUUAUUAAAAGAACUGAAUAAUGUUUUUAAAAGCUCUGUUGAUUUCAUCAUUACCUAACUUUCUUGCUUCUCAGCAAAUGUUGUUUUCCAGUGAUCAUGUGACUAGGAAAAAGGUUUAGGCCAAUCAUCAAGCAAAAUUACAAAUAAUGUGAAAGUUUUUUCUUCUGAACUAAUUUCACUUGGAAAUAUUCCACUUAUGAGAUUAAGAGAACAUGCAUUGAACAGUAUUUAAAAAUAGUUUAAAUUUCACAAGGUUUGUUAUAGAGUAUUUCUAAGUACACUGUAAUUCUUUAUUUUUAAAUAUAUGUGCUUAACAUUUCCACCUUGAACUGCCCUAAAUUGACUCAGGGAACAGGGUUACUUUUAUUUACUCCAGAUCCCAGUAUGUCUCCUGUGAUCUAGCUGUGACCUCAGAAAUGCUCUGGAUAUUCAUUAAUAACUGCAUAGGCAAAGCUUAUUACAUAUGUUCCUCCACAGUAAACAUAAAGCAAUCAAGAACAGUGGUUCUUCUGAAUAGCAUGUUGUUGUGAAAGCAAGUAACAGAAUAAUAUAAAGCUAUUUAAGCUAUUUCCACACAACUCCAAGGAAAAUGUCUGUGUACAUUGAUAAGGCUUGCCCUGACGGUCAACAAACUUUUGUUCUUUUGGACCAGUUGAGGGAAUGAAUUCCAGAAUCAACAUUUGGUCAGCAUGUUCAAUCUCUUUUACCAAUAGACAACAUGACUUGUGGAAACAGAAAUGAUCUUCCCGUUGAAGUGAUUUAGACUGUAAGUAAGUAUAGGUUCCUUUCUGAGUUGCAUUUUUCCCCUAAGCAGACAGCCAAAUGCCAAGGAAAGUAUUGUCCCAUGUGCAUUUCAGAUAUAGUGCUGAGUUUUCAGAUGGCUAAAUAGAACGUUGGUCUUACCUGAACGUGUCUUUUCAGGGGAAGAGAGGGAGUGGUCACGUGUGGGUAUUCUCAAAGCCUGAUUGAUCCAAAGACAGAGAGUAAACUUCUUAAAUACUCCUGCCUUCCAUUCUAGCCUGGUUUCCUCGAAGGCGAGCAACAGAACUGAAACAACAACAACAACAAAACACCCUGGGAACCAUUCGGCUCUCCCCUUGGCCCCGAUAACCUAACCAGAGUGGGUCAUGACCACUCCCUCUCUUCCCCUGAAAAGACACGUUGAGAUAAGACCAACGUUCUUUUUCCAGUAGAAGAGAGGGAGUGGUCACAUGUGGGACAUACCUAAGCUUAGUCCUGGGGAGGGAGAAAAAAUCAACAACUAAGGCCCAAGGGAAGUAUCAGCAGCCACCCUCUGCAGGACCUUCCGACCAAAGGAAGCAUCCGCUGAGGCGAACUCAUCCAGACGAUAAUGCCAGAUGAACGGUGUCGGGGACACCCAAGUAGCGGCCCAGCAGAUGUCUUCAAAAGGAGCCCUAGUGGCCCAAGCCACCGUGGUCACAGCACUCCUGGUGAAAUGGGCAGUUAUUCCCGAUGGAACAGGACGACCUGCCGCCCCAUAGGCCUCCACGAUGGUCUGUCGCAGCCAACGGCCAAUGGUGGCCGAAGACACCCUGGCCCCCAACGUCCCCGGUUGGAAAGAAACAAAUAAGGCCUCCGUCCUGCGGACCCCCGCAGUCUGUUGGAGAUAAAUGCACAAAGCGUGACACACGUCUAAAUGGUGCCAGAGCCUCUCCCUAUCGAAGAGCCGAGGUGGCGCAGUGGUUAGAGUACGAUACUGCAGGCCACUUCAGCUGACUGUUAUCUGCA